ACAUCCGUUAACCUUGCCGAGAAAGGUUUCUACGAAGGCUCGGCAGACAAUGUCGUUUGCGAACACAGUUCGAGCCCCUUUAGGGACUGCAGUUUCAAGAUUGUCACACACAGUUACCAAAAGCAACACCAAGCCGAUCGCCAACUUAGGUAGAAAGUUAGCAAUUCCCGUGAUUCGGAAUAGUUCGCCUGAACUGCAGUCCUUCAAAGCCAGGAUUGGAGCCGUCAGUUGUUUAGCAAGAAGAAACUACCAUACAGAUAUCCCCGAACCAGACUUCGAGGCGUACCGCAGUAAUAGUUCGAAACAGGCUAAUGUGUCACGGGAUAAAUUUGAUGCUAAACGGAAGGUGUAUUCGUACACCCUAGUUGGAGGAGCAUCAGCUGCCACUGUGUACAUGGGUAAAGAAAUAGUGCAGGAUCUGGUGGGGUACUUGGAUAUCAAUGAUGCUGCCCGAGCCUUGGCCAUUACUGAAAUCAAGCUUAAUGAUGUCCCUGUCAUGGCUCCCACUACGACUCCUCAGGUCGCAUCAGGAAGGGACCCGCCCCCCUUAAUCUUACUGUCGCACCCCAUAAAAUUAAAGGAGAAUACUUAAUUGUGGGAUAAAGAAGAUUUAAGUAGAAGACAAUAUCUAUACAUGAGAUGUGAACAGAAAUGUGACAAAGUUUGAAAGUUCAAUACUGUAGCCUUUUGGACACCACAAGGCUCAAAUGUUUUCUCUUGUAACUCAUUAAAUUAUGUUGAUG
rnacentral:misc_RNA from 1 species